UGGGGAAUAUUGGACAAUGGGCGAAAGCCUGAUCCAGCCAUGCCGCGUGUGUGAAGAAGGUCUUCGGAUUGUAAAGCACUUUAAGUUGGGAGGAAGGGCAGUAAAUUAAUACUUUGCCGUUUUGACGUUACCGACAGAAUAAGCACCGGCUAACUCUGUGCCAGCAGCCGCGGUAAUACAGAGGGUGCAAGCGUUAAUCGGAAUUACUGGGCGUAAAGCGCGCGUAGGUGGUUCGUUAAGUUGGAUGUGAAAUCCCCGGGCUCAACCUGGGAACUGCAUUCAAAACUGACGAGCUAGAGUAUGGUAGAGGGUGGUGGAAUUUCCUGUGUAGCGGUGAAAUGCGUAGAUAUAGGAAGGAACACCAGUGGCGAAGGCGACCACCUGGACUGAUACUGACACUGAGGUGCGAAAGCGUGGGGAGCAAAACAG
rnacentral:rRNA from 1 species